GGACGGGUGAGUAACGCGUGGGUAACCGGCCCCAAAGUCCGGGAUAACAGCGGGAAACCGCUGCUAAUACCGGAUGCCUUUACCUUGGGGCAUCUUGAGGUAAAGAAAGGUAACGCUUUGGGAUGGGCCCGCGUCCCAUUAGCUAGUUGGUGAGGUAACGGCUCACCAAGGCGACGAUGGGUAGCCGGCCUGAGAGGGUGGACGGCCACACUGGGACUGAGACACGGCCCAGACUCCUACGGGAGGCAGCAGUAGGGAAUAUUGCGCAAUGGACGGAAGUCUGACGCAGCGACGCCGCGUGAGCGAUGAAGGUCUUCGGAUCGUAAAGCUCUGUCCUUGGGGAAGAAGGCGAAAGCUUGACGGUACCCAAGAAGAAAGCCCCGGCUAACUACGUGCCAGCAGCCGCGGUAAUACGUAGGGGGCGAGCGUUGUCCGGAAUUACUGGGCGUAAAG
rnacentral:rRNA from 1 species